rnacentral:lncRNA from 1 species
AACAGGUUAAAAUUUAUUCAGAAGACGUGGUUUCUGUUGAAUUGGAAAAUUUAAGUGUGCAUUUAGAUCAACCCAUUGCUGUCGGUUUUAGCAUUUUGGAUUUGGCUAAAUAUGAAAUUUAUGACUUUUACUACAAUGUGAUGCAAAAGGAAUAUGGACAUGAACAUUUAGAUUUGCUCAUGACGGACACUGACAGUCUCUUUAUGCAAGUCCAUGCUCCUCCACAUAAACCCCUCCUGGACCCCUAUGUGUUUAUGAAACAGAAUCUCCAUUUAUUUGACACUUCCAAUUAUGCUCCCAAUGACCCAAAGGAUCUCUAUUCCGAUCAAAACAGGAAGGUGACAGGCAAGAUGAAGGAUGAAGCAGGUGGAAACAUCAUACUUGAAUUCUGUGGACUAAAAGUAAAAUGUAUUCCUUCUUGAUGAAAACGGAUAAGGAACUUAUUGAGAAAAAGACAGCCAAAGGUAUUAAAAAAACAGUGAUCAAGAAAUUUCUCAGACAUAAGAUGUUUAAAGAGUGUCUUUUUGACAAAACAGCUGUGUCAUGUUCUUUUCAUCUCAUUCGCUCUUUCAAUAACGUCUUGUACACACAGAAACAAAACAAAGUGGCUCUGACCUCCAUAGACAACAAGCGUUAUGUACUAGAGGAUGGCAUUCAUAGUGUACCUUAUGGUUAUUCAUCAACUGAAUAGUUACAACAUCUGCAAGAAAAUCUUCAAAACAAAGUGGCUUUGACCUCUAUAGACAACAAGCGUUAUGUGCUAGAGGAUGGCAUUCAUAGUGUACCUUAUGGUUAUUCAUCAACUGAAUAGUUACAACAUCUGCACGAAAUAUGGAAUUUUACAAGUCCAAACAGGAUGAGCAAACCAGCCUACAUGUGUACAAGCUGCGAUGGCUUUCUACCUGUUGACGCAAAUGGUGAAGACCGAUCGGGUCUCUUUACCUGCGUCUACUGUGGUACCAAAUUAAAAUAUACGUAUCAUAGGUUCCUGAACCCUACUGGCAAAUGUGUGGUCAGGAAGGCAAAACUGAACACAGCUCAUGCCUGCACUUGUCGGAAGAUUCAUCAUAAUGACUACCAGAAGUCAAACUUGCUCUGGCUGAAUGUAUCCUAUGUUUCACUGCAAGAGCAAAACAUGAACACUAUGAGAGGCUACUUCAAGACUACAAAGUGAACACUAUGUGUGACUGCUUCAAGACUACAAAGUGAACACUAUGUGUGACUACUUCAAGACCACAAGGAGAACAAACGUAACAAUCACAAUUGUGCUCACAUUGUUUAUUGUCACAAACUAUACAUAGAGUGUGUGGUUUCAAUAAAACGAUUCUAGUGUUCCUGAUGACCUGAACCCAGGAACACCUUUGGCUGCUUUACGUUUAACAAAUAAAACAUUUCUAUGUA